GUUUCUAAAAUAUUGACGCGUGGAAUUGAAAUUCGGUUUGGUCGUAGAAUAUUGUGUUAAAAGUGCGGUUUUCUUAACAAAAUUAAAGAUUGUAAGUGGAAAAUAAUGUUAAGCAAAAGACAUACAAAACGUUUGAUGAAAAAAGAAUCCGAAAGAAUCAAACGCAUACUAACUAUUAAAAAAAAUGUUCGCGAAGUGCAAAUGCAGAGCGAACCUGCAAAUUGUGCCAAUGAAGACUUUAAAAUCUUUAAUACUCCACAAAAUAAAAAAUCAAUGAAUGCACAGCUAUGCGAUUGGUAUUUAAAAUUCCUACCUUCUCAUAAAUGCUGUAAAGAACUAUUGUGCAUUUCUUAUUUCGCAAAACAUGUGCGUUCCAAGGAGCGUUUCAGGAUUGAUUGACAAAAAUUCGCAAACUAUUGUACGCACCGUUUCUCGCGGCCAAUACAUCCACAUAGGAAUUGAAAAAUAUUGGAGUGGACGGAUUACCACUAUUUAAAAGUUCGUCAGUGGGCCGCUGAUAGCAACGGUAGAUCUUCUUUUGAAAAAUGGUGGCAUAGAGAAGAAAUUCGAUAGUAUAUUUUCUACAAACCUCAUUUUUGACUACAAUUUGGAAGGCAAACAGAAUAAGAAGAAAUUGCUAGAUUAUAGUAAGCUUAUGUCUGUUUUAUACGGUACACCGGAAAAUCAAAGCCUUGGCGAAAAAACGUUUCAUGACUCUUUACGAAAAGCAAUAAAGAAAUCGAAGAACCGUCAUUUUAAAAACCAAUGGAUUCAACAUAAAAAACCAAUGGAUUCAACAUAAAAAAAGUUUACAUCUACCGUUUUACUAUAUGUAAUAAUAACUUAAGCUUUAACGUUUCAUAAACAUUUAAUGUAUGAAUACAAAUUUAAUUUAAUUGUUUUAAGUUGUUGUAAUACUUUAAAACUAAUGUGCUCAUAACAUUUUUGACUCUUAACGAAAGACAUUAAAAGAGCGAAAACCCGCCAUUUUAAAAACCAAUGGAUUGAACAUAAACAAAAAAGUUUUCAUGUACAACUGUAUUACUGUACCUAAUAAUAACUUAAGCUUUAACGUUUCAUAAACAUUUAAUGUAUGAAUACAAAUUUAAUUUAACUUUUUUAAGUUGUAGUACUUUAACAGUAAUGUGCUCAUAACAGUUUUGACUUAACGAAAAGGAUUAAAAGAGCGAAAACCCGUCAUUUUAAAAACCAACGGGUUCGAAAUAAAAAAUGAGAAAUGGAAUUCUUUCAUCUUGUAAACGUUUACACUUUUGAUUGGUUUAUGAAAUCAUGUGACAUUUUGACCUGUAUUUGUCUUUUGUUUUUUUAUGUUUACUAUUUAUUAUAAAAGUUUGGCACAUUUAAUAACAAACACCAUAU